GGACGGGUGAGUAACGCGUGAGAAUCUAGCUCUAGGUCGGGGACAACCACUGGAAACGGUGGCUAAUACCGGAUGUGCCGGAAGGUAAAAGGCUUGCUGCCUAGAGAUGAGCUCGCGUCUGAUUAGCUAGUUGGUGUGGUAAGAGCGCACCAAGGCGACGAUCAGUAGCUGGUCUGAGAGGAUGAUCAGCCACACUGGGACUGAGACACGGCCCAGACUCCUACGGGAGGCAGCAGUGGGGAAUUUUCCGCAAUGGGCGAAAGCCUGACGGAGCAAUACCGCGUGAGGGAGGAAGGCUCUUGGGUUGUAAACCUCUUUUCUCAAGGAAUAAGAUCUGAAGGUACUUGAGGAAUAAGCAUCGGCUAACUCCGUGCCAGCAGCCGCGGUAAUACGGAGGAUGCAAGCGUUAUCCGGAAUGAUUGGGCGUAAAGGGUCCGCAGGUGGCAUUGAAAGUCUGCUGUUAAAGAGUGAGGCUUAACCUCAUAAAAGCAGUGGAAACUACAAAGCUAGAGUGCGUUCGGGGUAGCAGGAAUUCCUGGUGUAGCGGUGAAAUGCGUAGAGAUCAGGAAGAACACCGGUGGCGAAAGCGUGCUACUAGGCCGUAACUGACACUGAGGGACGAAAGCUACGGGAGCGAWUGGGAUUAGAUACCCCAGUAGUCCUAGC
rnacentral:rRNA from 1 species